UUGCCCCGAGAUGAGUUCUCCCUGACUCCUUGAGAGUCCUGAAGGAACGUUGAAGACGACGACGUUGAUAGGCCGGGUGUGUAAGCGCAGCGAUGCGUUGAGCUAACCAGUACUAAUGAACCGUGAGGCUUAACCUUACAACGCCGAAGCUGUU
rnacentral:rRNA from 1 species